GGGGCUACCCGGCCGAAUUUACUGUUUUUACAUUCCUUAUAGUAUGCUUGAACGUUGAAUAAACAAUAAAGUUCUAAAGACAAUAUUUUAGCUUGAUAAUUGAUCUGUAAUUGUGUCUACUGAUAUAUUGAAAAAUUUACCUUAUCACGAGAAAAUGAAUUUUUCGUGAACGCUUUUCUCGGUCUAAAAUCCGUAUAAACUCGCUAAUUAUGCAACGCAUAGACAUGAAACUUUAACCAGUAGUGAAUAAUGCAUUACUCUUCAAUACUGUCUGCCAAUUUUUCAAUUAAAUAGAUAAUUUUUGAGAAAUCUGUAAUAUUGAAUUUCGUAAGUAAACCGGGCAAGCGGGUGUCUGCGCGGGCGACGAGGAGCAUUCGCCUCUCGGCCGUUGUAUGAGGAGCUUGUGUCGUUUGAUGCGACGCGCGCGCAUUUAUUGUUUAUUAUUUUAUUUUUAUUGACCCUACAAUUUUGGCAUUUGUGUGAUAGGACACUGUAGACACUUUAGUUUUACAAGUGAACGAAAGGACGCAUUUACUUAUUUGCUUGUGCAAAUACUGUUUAUUUAGUUUUAUAAGCGAGCGAAAGGACGAAAUAACUACCUAUUUGUUUACUUGUGUAAAUUGAAUAUGCCGAAAGUAUCAAAAGUGAAAUGAUAUCAGCAACAAAGGCUCACGGAAAUAAAAAUCGCAGUAGCUCAAAGAAAAAGACAGGUACUACAACAACUCGAUGGAAAUAUAGAAAACCAAGAUUUAACUUCAGAAAAUUGUCAACUUCGAACUUGCGAUGUCACACAGACUACCUUCAAAAAAGUGCCACAAGGUCUAGAUUUAACUACGCCUAUGGCACAUAAGAAUAAGUUUGCAGAGUCAACUAAUGGGUUUAAUUCAACCUAUUGUCAGGGAUUAGAAAGUGAAGAAAAAGAGUAUACUGUUACUACGGAACCGGAAGAAAUUAUAUCCGAUAAAUACGUCGGAAGGAAGAUUGUGGCCAUAUCUCAAUUCAAAAAUUACUCAACUUUUGUAAACAUGGCCAUCUAGCGUAUUCAUCGAAUGAUAUAAUACUAACAGGAGAAAAUCAAAAUAGUCUGAUAUCAUUAUUUACUUUUCAGUGUAAAAUGUAUAACGUAACUCUUACAAUCGAAAAUGAUAUCUGUGAAGACAAUUAUUUAAAUUUGAAUGCAUGUGCAGUAGCUGGUACCAUCGCAAUAGGAUGUGGCCGGUCACAACUUGAAGAAGUGUUGUCAGCUAUAAAUUUGCCUAGUUUCACUGAAAAUACAUACGACCACAAUCACAAGGUUAUUGGCAAACAUCGUCAUCUCAUUGAGGUGAAAUGUCCCAUUACAGCGCAUAGAAUCGGCAUAGACGAAGCUAUUAGGAAGAAAAAAAUAACCGUCUGGAAAAUAAAUAAGAAUGGUCAAUACCACAUUAACAAAAAUUGGUAUUACCAAAUUCAAGGUCAAUUACAUGUAACACAAAGCAAAAAAUGUAUAUGUAUAUGCGGUAUGGGGCAGUGAAAAUGAAUCGCUUAGAAUCGAAAUUAUUAAUAAAGACGAUAAUUUUUGGCAGAAGGAAAUAAAACAAAAGUUGACAAAAUUCUAUAUUGACUGCAUACUUCAAAAACUGAUUGAUCCGAACACAUUAUUUAAGAAAUAUACUCAAAUAAAAGCAAAAAUGUAACCGAUUCAUAUUUAAAAAUAAAAAUCACAAUUUUAAAUCAAUGAGUGUAUGUUUAAUCAUGUGUACUCAAUAUAAUAAUUGUGUUUGCAGGCAAACGAAAAAAAACCGACUUCAGUUAUAUCGACAAGUAAUAAAACGCAGGUA